rnacentral:rRNA from 1 species
UACAUGGGGUGCAAACGUUGCUCGGAAUCAUUGGGCGUAAAGCGCGCGUAGGCGGUUAUUUAAGUUGGAUGUGAAAGCCCUCGGCUUAACUGAGGAAGUGCAUCCAAAACUGAAUAGCUAGAGUACGAAAGAGGGUCGCGGAAUUCCCGGUGUAGAGGUGAAAUUCGUAGAUAUCGGGAGGAACACCGGUGGCGAAGGCGGCGACCUGGGUCGAGACUGACGCUGAGGCGCGAAAGCGUGGGGAGCAAACAUG